ACCCAUCAACAACAUAGUUUCCAUUGCACUUUCCAAUUUUUCAUGUCUCUUAUUCUCGUCAGCUGCUACUCCGAUCUCUUGCUACUGGAAGUCUGAUAAUUGUCUCGCACUCUCGGUAGUUUGUGUUUCUAUGGUGAUUGAGCAAUUAAAGAGUAGCAAGAUAUGUACAACGGAAUAGGGUUACAGACUCCGAGAGGGUCUGGAACCAAUGGCAAUAUCCAGACGAACAAGUUCUUCAUCAGGUCCAAGACUGGCAAGGUUGCUGAAAACUCCAGAGGGUUUGAGGGAGACCAGGGCAUGGCUGGCGUCACAAAGAAGGCCAACAGAGACAUCCUUGAGCAUGAUCGCAAGCGCCAGAUUGAGCUCAAGCUUGUGGUGCUGGAGGAGAAUCUGAGCGAUCAGGGAUUCACGGAGGCUGAGAUUGGUGAGAGAAGGUGGCCGAGGCUCGGAGGACUCUGGAAGCUGCUGCCGCGUCUGAGGAAAUAGGUGGAACCACUGCUAUUGUUCUUGGAGAGAUAAGAAGUUACAUGGCCUCAAAGCUUUCUAAACUGAAUCAAAUCGUGUACUGUUGAGAGCUUCACUUUGUGCCACUGGUGACGGAGAUGGAGUUGUGGAUGAUUGUAUCGUUGGCAUAUUAAAUCCUACUGUUUUUCUUGGGUCUGUAUGAGAUUUUGUAAUACAUUUAUAAUCACAUUGUGUUGGGUACGGUGGUCUUUUAAUAUUUUUAUUGGCCAUCUGAUCUAGACCUGGAAUGCUGUUAUCUAUCUUGUUAUUUUGUAUGAAGAAUCUGAAAUCGAGUGUUCUUUGCCUCAUUAGCAGGAUGCAAUGGUAUCUAUAGUAUCAUGGUACUGCUAUUUCUUGAACUGCCUUGAUAACUAAAAUUUGUAGGACUAACUGAUGAAUCACAGACGUUGGAGAUUACGUAUUAGUUUGUCUUGUUA